rnacentral:rRNA from 1 species
UACAGAGGUCUCAAGCGUUGUUCGGAUUCAUUGGGCGUAAAGGGUGCGUAGGCGGCGCGGUAAGUCGGGUGUGAAAUCUCGGAGCUUAACUCCGAAACUGCAUUCGAUACUGCCGUGCUUGAGGACUGGAGAGGAGACUGGAAUUUACGGUGUAGCGGUGAAAUUCGUAGAUAUCGGGAGGAACACCGGUGGCGAAGGCGGCGACCUGGGUCGAGACUGACGCUGAGGCGCGAAAGCGUGGGGAGCAAACAGG